rnacentral:rRNA from 1 species
AGUGAACGCUGGCGGUAGGCCUAACACAUGCAAGUCGAACGGCAGCACAGUAAGAGCUUGCUCUUACGGGUGGCGAGUGGCGGACGGGUGAGGAAUACAUCGGAAUCUACUUUUUCGUGGGGGAUAACGUAGGGAAACUUACGCUAAUACCGCAUACGACCUACGGGUGAAAGCAGGGGAUCUUCGGACCUUGCGCGAUUGAAUGAGCCGAUGUCGGAUUAGCUAGUUGGCGGGGUAAAGGCCCACCAAGGCGACGAUCCGUAGCUGGUCUGAGAGGAUGAUCAGCCACACUGGAACUGAGACACGGUCCAGACUCCUACGGGAGGCAGCAGUGGGGAAUAUUGGACAAUGGGCGAAAGCCUGAUCCAGCCAUACCGCGUGGGUGAAGAAGGGCUUCGGGUUGUAAAGCCCUUUUUUUUGGGAAGAAAAGCAGCAGGUUUAUACCCCGCCGUUUUGACGGUACCCAAAGAAUAAGCCCCGGCUAACUUCGUG